rnacentral:rRNA from 1 species
GACGUAGGGCGCGAGCGUUGUCCGGAUUUAUUGGGCGUAAAGAGCUCGUAGGCGGCUGCUCAAGUCGAAUGUGAAAACUCGAGGCUCAACCUCGAGCCUGCAUUCGAUACUGGGCGGCUAGAGUCUGGUAGGGGGAUCUGGAAUUCCUGGUGUAGCGGUGGAAUGCGCAGAUAUCAGGAGGAACACCGGUGGCGAAGGCGGGUCUCUGGACAGUUCCUGACACUGAGGCACGAAGGCCAGGGGAGCAAACGGG